AGCUUUGCGAAGUGGCAGUAUCGUAGCCAAUGAGGUUUAUCCGAGGCGCGAUUAUUGCUAAUUGAAAACUUUUCCCAGAAUGGCGAGUUUCAAAUACUUUGGCUUCUUUGCACAUCUAAGCAAAACAUUCCUUAGC